UCCCGGGUCGUCUAGCGGCAAGACACUUGGCUUUGGUCCAAGGUACAGGGGUUCGAAUCCUCUCCCGGGAG
rnacentral:tRNA from 1 species